rnacentral:lncRNA from 1 species
CUACACCUCCUUGCAGGUGUCAUGACUGAUUGUGCCUUGGUUUGAGGAACAGAAAGUCAACCCUGUGCCGCACAGAGGAGCCAAAAGCCAAAGCGUAAAGAGGCGGGACAGUGGCCUUUCAGUCCACCUACGUUGCAGAAGUCACACACACCAGCUAUGAGAGAUAACACCUGAGGGUAGGCUCUGUGUCUUCUAGCCAUUUGGCCUUUGGCAAGUCACUCAGCUCUCAAGCCAAAUGGGGAUUAAAAAGAGUGUCUGCUUCAGGAAGCCACAAGGAGCUACAAGAAACUGAAGUGGCCAAUGUUCCUGAGCAGACAUUCCCAUGCGGAUCCGCCCCCACCCCUUCCUGUCGGUUGGGAGGACCGAUUUCCUGGACCAGACAAUGGCUGCUUGUGUGCACAGACCUUUAGCUGAGGAACAGCAGCCUGCACAGCCGGACCUGUGGGGACCAGAGCAGCCCUGCUCAGGGACACGCUGCUCCCCCCAGCCCCACCCAUGCAAGGCUCUUGGGAAGACAGAAGCAGACUUUCCAAGCACGCCACAUGCAGGAAGUCCUGGGGCCUGCAGUCAGUGCCCGCACAACCUCCUUCCACUCCUCCCUUCGUGGGAGCCCAGGCCUGGAGCGCCUGGUGUGGGGAGUUACAGUUAAGAGACUGGAGUCUCAGAAGAGACUUUGGACUUUUAAACAGUGUUGAGGUUGUGAAAGACUAUGGGGACUUUUGAAGUCAAAUGCAUUUUGCAUUAUGUUAUGGCUGCAAACCCACAGAGCAGCCAGGGAGAGAAGCGUGGUGUUUCUGAAGAAUUGCUCCCAAGGGCUCGUGGAUUUGAAUGUUUGGUCCCCAGCCGGCAGAGCUGUUUGAGAAGGAUUAGGAGGUGUGGUCUUGCUGGAGGAGGUGUGUUAUUGGGAGCUGACUUUGAGCUUUCAGAAGCCCAUACCACCAGGCUUCGAGUCUCUAUGUCUGUCUCUCUCUCUGUCUCUCUGCCAGUCUCUGUCUCUCUGUCUUUCUGUCUCUGUGUGUCUCUGUGUCUGUCUGUCUCUCCCUCUCCCCCUCCCCCUUUCCCUCUUUCUUUGUCGUUCCCUUUCCCUCUCCCUCCCUCCUCGGCCUCCCUCCCUCCCUACUCAUGGAUCUGAUCUAAGCUCCCAGCUAUACUGCUCCAGCAACAUGUUUACCUGCCUCCUGCCAUGCUCCCCACCACCAUGACAGUCACCCUCUGAAACUAUAAGCAGGACUUCAAUUAAAUGCUUUCUUUUAUAAGCUGCCCUGGUCAUGGUGCCUCUUUACAGCAUUAGAACAGUAACUACUAUUAUCGAGAGUAGUAGUAUUUGUCCCAGAUAACUACACAUUAAAAACAUGGAUCAACAGUGACUAGGUAAACAGACUGUGGUAUGUCCAUACAGUGAAAUACUACUCAGCAAUAAAAAGGCAGCAAUUAUUGUGGAUAGGACAACUUAAAGCAUUAUACAGAGGAGAAGGCAUAGUUGGGUGUUCCUGUCAAUGUCCAUGCCAUUAAAGGUCCCAGAGUAGAUGCAGCUGCUCUGCAUUGCACAGUGUUGGAGGGGAUCUAUCCAGGGAUGGUUGGGAAAGAAUUUUGUAGAGAGCUCAUCCCCAUGGAGGUCUGUUUGUGAAAGUAGCAAAUUACACACUUAGGGUCUGUGUGCUCUGUUUUGUGUAAGUCAUACUCCAGCUUUUAACUCUGGCUUUUCUUCUCAGUGCUGGGAUUGAACUCAAGCAUGUACUCUCCUGAGGAGCUAUGUGCCCAGUCAAGACUCAGAUCUAAAAUGUGACAAGGGUCACCACUGGGAUUAACAACAAACAAAGGCUAAUAAUCAGACUCAGGGUGAAGGUGAUUACCAUGCGAGCCUGGACAACCUAACUGAUCUCCAGGACCCAUGUAAAGGUGGAAGGAGAGAAAUGACUUCUUAGGGUUUUCCUCUGAGUGUCACAUGUAUACCACAUGUACACCACAUGUGUAUCACAUGUGCAUCACAUGUGUACUGGCGAGUUUUGUGUCAACUUGACACAGCUGUAGUUAUCACAGAGAAAGGAGCU